rnacentral:rRNA from 1 species
CCUACGGGUGGCAGCAGUGGGGGAUAUUGCACAAUGGGGGAAACCCUGAUGCAGCGACGCCGCGUGUGGGAAGACGGUCCUCUGGAUUGUAAACCACUGUCCCCAGGGACGAAGAUGACGGUACCGGGGGAGGAAGCUCCGGCUAACUACGUGACAGCAGCCGCGGUAAUACGUAGGGAGCGAGCGUUGUCCGGAAUUACUGGGUGUAAAGGGAGCGUAGGCGGGGCUGCAAGUAGGGUGUCAAAUCUACCGGCUCAACCGGUAGCCGCACUCAAAACUGCAGUUCUUGAGUGAAGUAGAGGCAGGCGGAAGUCCUAGUGUAGCGGUGAAAUGCGGAGAUAUAAGGAGGAACACCAGUGGCGAAGGCGGCCUGCUGGGCUUUUACUGACGCUGAGGCUCGAAAGUGUGGGGAGCAAACAGGAUUAGAUACCCGGGUAGUC